rnacentral:lncRNA from 10 species
CUGUUACACCCUGAAGCCACCUCGUGGGGACUUCCGCGGAGAGGGAGGAUUCCCAGAGGUAAUCUGAAAGGCAGGUGCAAUUAAAACCAGCAAUUUGGAAAACAAGCCUCCUAUGCCUGUGCCCAAGUGGGGAAUCUGGAACCAGUAAGCCCGUUCGUGCAUAAAUGUAAUCCUCGGCCGCAGAAUAAACCAGCUCGGAGCCUGCAGCUGGGUCCGUCCUCCUUUCUGGGCGAGAGGGAGGGCGGCGGGGGAAGAGGAGGUGCAAGGCGAGCCCUCUGCGCAAUUAGGCUACGGGCGGCCGCUGGCAGAAGUUCUGGCGGCGGCGCUCGCGGCCCUGCGCGCCGGAGGGGGCGCCCGGAGUCCAGCGGGCCAAGAAGGGCAGGGCGCCCGCUCCUCGCCCCCCGCCGCGCCGCGGCCCCAGGGGACCGCAAGGGGACAGUGAGGGGCCGGGCCUGGCACCGACGCAAGCUCGGGGAGCGCGGGUGGUGGGAGGCGGCGCGUGUUGAACAGGAAGUGCGCGGCGUGCAGCGCCACCGUCCCGCUCCCCGUCGCCCCACGCCGCCCUCGUCGCCGCGCCCAGACCCCUGCGGCGGCCGCAGCCGCUUGGGACUCGCUGCGAGCUGGUUUCGGAUCCAUCCCGCCUCCCGGCGUCUCACUGUGUGCCCUACCCUUUGAAACACGCCCCCGCGCCCGCCCUGCCGUAGACCAGGCAGCGAGGAAGCCCACAGUCUCCGGGGGCGCUGCGCGCGAAGUAGCACGUGCUUCUCGAAACACCGCAGCCCCCGGGUCCCGCCCCGCCCGGCGCGCGCACUCGAACCCGCCCAGAGAGCGGUGCGUGGCGCUGGGUGCGAGCAGGGUCUAGCCACCCCCACCCUCACCCCACCCCACCCCACCCUGCUUUUUUCAGGUUCAUCAAGGUUUGCGCAGUGGAUCCGCGAAUGAAGCCAGCCUGGAAGAUCCCCAGUCUCGAGACAGAGCCUGACAGGGGCAGAUGCACUGGAAGGACCCUGUCUGGGUUUAGCAACCAAGCAGCCAUCCUGGCCCCACAGGUGUGGGACUUCUGGGUCUUCUCCUGGCUGGCUUCUUGCUAGAGGAUUUCAAGAGACCCAGCAAGACUGUAUUGUCCCACUGAAUGCUCAAGAUAUUGGUUAGAAGUAGAAAAGGGGAGGGGGUAGUAUUUAGCCUCUGUCCCCACUAAAAAUUAUUCCCAAUUGUCAUUUGUGUCAUCUGUUUAGCUUACAGUUUUAAUCCUUGUCAAAAUGAUCAUUUGCCAGGGUGCAUAAAACACCCUAUUUGAUGAGAACUGGUUUUAAAGGAAAAUGGGGCCAUCAGAAGGAAGCCGGUUGGUGUGAAGAGACGUCUGGGAAGAGCCCCUGGCGAGGGCCCUCAUUCCACUGGGUGACCCAGAAGGAGAAAACCGCGAUGGCGCUUCUCAUUUGAAAUGUUUUCUUUAUGGACAGUGUUUAGCAAUUGUUAUAAUGUGUACUUUUGUUGAUUGAUCUGUAUACAUAUGUAAAAUAAUUUGUUCUCUGAGUUAAUUUUGUUGGAACAAAGACUUUAGUGCUUCCUACAUUAAAACAUUUUACUGUAUUGCCUGCAUUUUAAGAGCCUUUUUUUAAUUUUUAAUUUUUUUGGUCCUUGUGAUAUGACGAGGUAUAAAUUCUGGGUUUUGUCCAGGGUUCCUGGCUUAGCACUCUCGUCG